rnacentral:rRNA from 1 species
UACGGGGGGGGCAAGCGUUGUUCGGAAUUACUGGGCGUAAAGGGCUCGUAGGUGGCCAACUAAGUCGGACGUGAAAUCCCUCGGCUUAACCGGGGAACUGCGUCCGAUACUGGUUGGCUUGAGUUUGGGAGAGGGAUGCGGAAUUCCAGGUGUAGCGGUGAAAUGCGUAGAUAUCUGGAGGAACACCGGUGGCGAAGGCG